GGGUAGUAGAACAAUGGGAUUAUGCUGUCACAAAAACCAAAGAAAAAACAUAAUUUCUUAAAUCAUGGUCUGUCACUGAAUCUGGUUAUAAAACCUUAUCUUGCACUAGAAGGAUCUGUAGCUUUUCCAGCUGAGAAUGGGGUUCAGGAUACCGAAUCAACACAAGAAAAGAGAGAAACUGGGGAUGAAGAAAACUCAGCUAAAUUUCCUGUAGGAAGGAGAGAUUUUGACAUAUUCUCAGACCACUUCUACCAAAACAUAAAUCUGUGAUUGUGAUCUCUGAAAGUCAGUCCUUUUAUCUACUCAAUUAUGACUCAAGGCUUUGAGAAUGUAAAGAGACCACCUUCACUUGUUGAGAAAUGGUACGAUUUCACGUUAUCAGUGCAGUUCCGUUCUCGGGGGAAAGCCCAUCCGUACUACCAGGAGACUGGAUCCGCAAAGUAGACACUUGGUCUCAUGAAGCCACUGCUGGGCUCCAGAGAGAAGGGAAAACUAAGAGGUUUUAAAACCCCUACCCUCCUUGGUUUACCUCCAUCAUUAAAAAACAACAAUGACAACGACAACAAAAAACAAAACUAAAACGACUUAUUAUUUAUUAAUUAUGUUGUGGCAGACAAUAUGCUGAACAUUAGACAUAAUUAAAUCUUUUUAAAAAUUGA
rnacentral:lncRNA from 1 species